rnacentral:lncRNA from 1 species
UAUCUAACCCUUGCACUUGGAAUUGAAACACUUCUUCUAGUGAAGCACAAUCAAUCACUAUUAGUUUUUCCAAUCUUUGGAAAACCCCCAAAAGAAAAGGUGGAAAGAUGUUCAACAACACAUCACAUUCCUUAACAGUCAACUCUUUUAGCAUAGAAAAGGAAUUCUUAUGAAGUUUGCUGUGCCAUAUCCUCUUUGCGUUCCUCAAAUGGGAGAUUGUGAUUUUCUCCAAGUUAGGAAAAGCAACCUGCAUAAUGAUAGAAAGAGCUAAUUACAAUUAGAAAUAAAUUAUAUAAAAUGUUAGCUCAUGGAUGCUUAGGUGAAGGUAUCGGUAAAUCAUAUAAUUAAGACAAUUGGAAUCAUUGGCCGUUUGAGAAGAGCCUAAAUGAGCUUAAUAUAAAAUUAAUUGGCUUUUUUGUAUGUAACUACUUACAAAAAUACAGACACUAAUUUUUAAUAUUACAUGUAUUGCACAUAAUUUAAUAUAUUUAAUUUUUAUAUAAUGCUUUUUUAAUUAUUAUAAUUAAUUCUUAAUUCAAAAUUUUGAAUUUAAUUAUUUGAGAAUUCAAACAUAAUAAGAAAAAAGCUUCGCAAUAAAACAAUAUAUUCAAAAUACAAGAAGGCACAUAAUAAGGGUAGCAUUCAUAAUAGAAUUUGCUAUUAAUGGGAUAACAAAGUGAUAGGCUUUUCCAAAUACACUUAAACAUAUAUGCAAAUAUGCUAGCUGGUUUUGAAUAAUUUCAAUUUUAUUAGUUAAUCAAUUCUUCCACAAUUUUUUUAAUUUUUAAUUCAAUUUACUAUUCAACAUUGUUCUUCAAUAAUUUGAAGACAAAGUUUACUAUAGAAUAAUACUCUUUCAAAUAUAUUGUUUUAAUAAUAGUAGAAAAUAUUUAAAAUUAAAAAAGACACAAAACCUUUGCUGGAAGAAAAUGGCUAAAUAUUUUUUCUAAUUCCUAGCUUUAUUGUUGUUUCAUUCUUCAAGUUGCUGUGGACUGUAGAUGAUAUUAGAGAGGAGUAAAGAUAUAGCUCAUGAUUCAUCACUAGCCAUAUGACUUAAAUGUAUAAAUCAAGAUUCGUUAAAAGAAAAACUAACCUUAUCGGAGAAAAUUACAGUAACAUUAUCAACUUCGUCACCAAUUAUCACUUCUUUAUCUUCAUCUCUUGAAAAUGUGCAAACAAAAGUAGUCAUGUUUGAACAAUCAACUAUCUUAAGUUCAACCAAGGAUGGACAUUCAAGACCUUUACUUCCCAUGUAAAAGCUUGUCAUAUCUGGACAAGACUCCACUGUAACGGAUCGUAGACGAGGGAAUAUGCUAAUAAUCUUGCUACUAUCUGUUAUUGCUUCCUUAACCAUUGCAAUUGGACCCUCUUCUUUGAUGACUUGUUCCAAAUUACCGCAUCUCUUUAUUUCCAUUUGCCGGAGUUGCCUCAGGCCAAAGGCCAUUGAGAGGUUAAAAAUGUAUCUCAAAUUGUUGGAAUCACAAACCUCUAGAAAUUCAAGAGUUGUAAAAUAAAAAAUUUCUUGAGGAUUUCUACUCCAUAUGUCCACCAGUUCCGGAAACUCUGAAAACUUCAAAUGCUUUAGACCACGGUAUCCAACCUGAGAAGCAACAUAUAAAAAAGUCGAAGUUUCAUACCAACAUAUUUAACAAGGCGCCACAAUGCUAUUGUGAAAAUAAAUUGCACAAAUCAUAAUUAAAUGUAUAUAUAUAUAUUUCAAUUAAUUUUUAAAUCAGUACCUGCUCUUGGUAUAAUUGCUCCACGGUGGCAUUAAGGUCACCAGCCCAACGUCCCGUAAAAUCUGUUUGUGUUAAUUGCAAUUUUUGCAGCUUUGGUGUUGUUAACUCUCCUUUAUUGAAGUUCUUCAUUCGAGGGCACUGGCUCAAAGUAACUUGUUCCAAGGAAGGAAACCUUAAGGCGUAAUUCCUUGAACAAAAGCUCGUGAGGCUUUGUAAACAAUGAAGCUCCAAACAUUUCAGCGCUCUGAAAACAAUCUCGUAUGAUGUUUCAUCCCCGUCGCUUGCAACUACUUCUCUCAUCCUUUCACAUUUUCUUAUCCUCAUUGUAACAAGGCACGCCAAACUUCGAGCUUUGGAAGAUGUUAUCAGCUCUAACAUCUCGUCGCAAUUGAAGACAUCUAAAGUUGUAAGAUUUUCAGAAAAUGAAAUAUCUAAUCCUAAAUCAAUCAAAUUGCCACAAUUCCAAACUUCAAGACAUUCGAGACUCGCACAAAUAUGGCCAAGCGGGGAGUCUUGCUUCCAUUGAUGUCUUAUGUUGUUAACCAAAUCCAAUCUCAACUCCUUGACUUUAGGAAUUGUGAUAAUCAUGUCUUGAUCUUCACAUGCAUCAUUUCCGAAAGAAGCUAGCUCUUUGAAACUGCAAGAACCUAGGUCAAGACUUUCCAAAUUGUAAAACCUUCUAAGAAAAGAAAUGAGGAAAACAACUGAUACAUCAGAGUAGAAAGAAAUUCGAAGAAAUUUUAUAUUGCAAAAUAAGUCGGACUCAUGUUGGCCAUCACUUAUCAUCUUAAUACAAUCGCCAGUAAAUGAAACCUCCUCCAAUUGGGGGAUAACCUAAGAAGCAACAAGUAAGAACAAUGAGUACCGAAGAAUAGCUAUAACACAUAAUAUAAGCCCGUAAACGAACGAUGAAAUCAAUAGUUUGAAAUUAUGUAAGAAUAUGCAAUAAAAUAUGGAUUUGAUGAUUAUUUUAGUUCUUUUACAUUUUCAAAUGAAUAAUUGGAUGUAUUAGUUGAGAUAUACUAAAUGAUUUAACUACAAUUUAUAAAUUUUGCUAAAAAAGUGUGACAGUUCAUACCUUUUCAAUAAGGAAAAGCGAAUUUUGGAUUUGGGAUUCUUCAUGCCCAAAUAUCUUUAUCCUCCAACAAUCAGCCAUCCUCAAUUUCUUUAAUGCAGACCAUGUUGUUCUAUGUAUUCCUGGGUAGAAACAUGUUAGGUAUGGUAGAUGCCAAAGCUUAAGGAAGGACAACUGGUUAAAUGCAAACCAAAUUUCCUGCUCGUCUGAUCCUUCAUCAUUCUUUGAAACAAUCUCCUCCAGCCCACAACUUUCAAUAAAAAGUCUUUCAAGUUGCUGAAGACCUUUGGCAAUUGAAAAUGGAAACAAAGUUUUCAAGUUCCAACAAUCCUCAAUGCAUACUUGUUGUAGACUUUCAAAUGAAAUAUUUCCUUUGUGAUACUUGGUCCAAACAUGCUUCAACCCUGGUAGGCGAACGAGAUCCAGUUCUCUUAGUUGACUAGCUACCACAUCCGUUUCUUCAGUAUCUAACCCUUGCACUUGGAAUUGAAACACUUCUUCUAGUGAAGCACAAUCAAUCACUAUUAAUUUUUCCAAUCUUUGGAAAACCCCCAAAAGAAAAGGUGGAAAGAUGUUCAACAACACAUCACAUUCCUUAACAGUCAACUCUUUUAGCAUAGAAAAGGAAUUCUUAUGAAGUUUGCUGUGCCAUAUCCUCUUUGC